UCGGAGGAAGGUGGGGACGACGUCAAAUCAUCAUGCCCCUUAUGUCUUGGGCUUCACGCAUGCUACAAUGGCCGGUACAAAGGGUUGCGAUACUGUGAGGUGGAGCUAAUCCCAAAAAGCCGGUCUCAGUUCGGAUUGGGGUCUGCAACUCGACCCCAUGAAGUCGGA
rnacentral:rRNA from 1 species